UACAUGGUAUCAGAGCCAUCAUAAGCCUUCAAAUGGAGUCUCCCACUCCCUCACCUCUUACCUCUGCUUCUCCAAUCCCAAAUGUUUCUUAAUUAUUAUUUGCUAAACUCAAUUUAAUAAAAUACCUCCUUUGGAAAGGUAAGAUUCUUCCUUUGUUAAAUGGGUAUAAUCUGGCUGCUCAUAUCUCUUCUUCUUCUACAGCUCCGACACCAAUGUUGAAUGAUGGGCAACUUAAUCCUUAUUAUCAAUGUUGGUAUUGUCAAGAUCAAUUAGUUCUCACCUGGUUAUUUGCCUCAAUUUUUGAGAAAUUAGUGCUGCAAGUGAUCGGCUCGCCUACAGCAAAGAUGCAUGGGUAAACUUAGAGACUAUAUUCUUAAAAAAAGGAUUUCAGUCAAUCGACUCUUAUAUGAGGCAUGCCAAACCUAUUUUUGAUCAGUUGUCUGUUCGUCAGGCUUUCGUGAAUGAAGAUUAUUUAAUUAAUGAUAUUUUGGAAGGAUUAGGUUUUGAAUAUCAUCCUUUUACAAGGGCAAUUGAAUCCAGAAAUGCUUCAAUCAAUUUUGAUGAAUUCCAUGCCCUUUUAUUGAGCGAAGAAACUCAACCAAAAAAUGAAUCUGAUUCUCUAUUGGCUGCCGUAUCACCAACAGCUUAAAUUGCAACUGUGCCUCCUUCUGCAUGGGACUACAACACUCUACACCUUAACCCGUGGUCCUUAAGCCUAUUAUACUACCUUUUUACCUCAAAUGUGAACGGUGGACUCGACAGCAAAUUAUCAUAUCACAACCGCUAAUGGAAAUAUUUCUCAUCCUUUGCCUUUACAGGACACUAACAAUGUGACAAUUAGCAAUGGAUAUUUGCACAAGUCAAGUUCUUUACCAUGGCCAGAGUGAAGAUGGGUUGUAGUCCCUUCCUCUCCCACUGGAUCCUCCCAUGUCUCCACAAGCCAAUUCCGUGGAAUUCAAAGUUUGGCAUGACCGUUUAGGUCAUUUUAAUAACUGUGCAAUUUCACAAGUUUUAUCUUCCAAUUAUUUAUCUGUACCUAAUAAAAAUAAUAAUGUUCCUUGUCA